rnacentral:lncRNA from 1 species
AUGAAAAUAUGUUUGGUUUGUUUCAGAAGUAAUUCCGUCUCGAGCCGCAGUGUCGAUAGCAUGUCCAUAAAAAAAAGAUCAGGACCCGUGCGACAACUAUCACUCCCUCAAGCGUCCCAGAGAAGCCUGCAAAAGCGCUCAUCGGUGGAACUCAACGACCGGAAAUUCGACAAAGACAACAACAACAACAACACCUCCAAAAAAACCACCCCGCCGCCCAAAACCCCCGAGCUCGGGACCCUACUCAUAAGCGCCAGCUCCAUCACCAAACAAAAUGGCGACGCGGAGAAGAAAUCCCGCUCGAAAGAGCGCAGCACGACAGCGGGCCGCGGGAGGGGGCGCGGUAGGGGCACGUGGGGCCCGCCCCCACGGCCGCUCCGCCUGGCCUGGGGCGAGCGCGGUCAAAACAGUCAAAGCCAGGAGGGUUCCACUCCGGGCGUCCAGGUCGUUGCCGAGCGGUGUAAAGGCCUGUCGCGGCCGCAGACGGCUGGUCCGGCCGUUGCCCGCGAGAGCGCGCUGGGCUACAACCGGAACACGAUCCUCAUCUCCCGGAAGCAGUUCGCCGAGAGGAUCCGCCAGGCGUGGCGCGACCGGGAGUUCACGAAGCAGAACCUGGAGAUCUACCUGGCCAGCCCCGGGAAUGCGGAGGAUGUGAGUCCGCGCGUGGGCUACAACGUCGUCGACGUGCCCAGCCCGGGGAGCCCUUACUCGGUCAUCUCGACAGAGCUCAGAUCGGCCGAGAGCGAGCUGGAUGCCACCCUCGGGUGGGACCCCGAGUUGGGCGCCAACGUGAUAACAGACUCCGAUGAUGAGGAUGAGAGGAUCGUCCCUUUCUCGGAGCAAAUCUCAAAGUACAAAGCGGAAACGCACCCUCCAAGCGGAAGUGGGACGCCCACAACGGGCUCCUCGAGCUUCGAGUCGACGGACAGCACCCUCCCGACCGCCGACGCAUGGGCCAACUCCCAGAGCCAGCUGCCGGCCUCGACCCGACGCCAGAACUUCCGCAACGCCUGUCAGAAAGCCAUCGACAAGACGCCCACCCAACCGCAAUCCGCGCGCCGAGCCAACCCGCCGCGGACGCCCAAAUGGGCGGCGCCCAGCCAGAGUCGGAGCUUCGAGGGCGCCCCAACCCCCGAGCAGGGCGCCUACCGCGGCUACGAGCGCAAUAUCAAGUCGGCGCCGCCGCCCAAACGACGCCUUAAGGCCGUCCGCCGCAAGCUCAAGCCCUUCUACGGGAACCUCUCCGCCAGCGAUGAUGAUAGUGGGGCCAAAGGUGGUCCUGGCUCCCUUACUAGGCGCCGCGCCCCUUUCUCCAAUGGGCCGAAGGAGGUCGAGACCAUGAUCUCCCUGCUCAGCCCCACUGACAGCGAGACGGAGACUGAUGGGCCUGAUCCGCUCGCCCUCUUGCAGGCAAGUGAGCCGUUCCCGGUGUUGCCGAACGUGGUACACCCUCCACCACCCCCACCGCCGCAACACACUUUUUUCCACGGCACCAAUGGCUCAGCCACCACCAGGAGUCUCGAUCUCAAGACUAGUAGGGAAGAAGUCCGCGAGAUUAAACCGCCCCCCUUGCUCUUCCUAAGGAAAUCACCUAAGCCUGUGAGUUUCAAGCUGCUUGGCCCAGCAGUGAAAUCGCACUCAGCUUUGUUUGCAGGCCGGCGAAGUGAGCCACCUAUCUCUGAAAAUGGAACCCGAGAGAUCAUUUCUCAUGCACUAAAAACGGGACCAAUCACCGAUCGUUUAGAGCUAACUCAUGCAUUGAACCACAAAAAAUUGGCUAGGACAAAAACGAACGAGUUAUUGAGGCCAGAAGGAGAAGGGAAAGAUACCGAAAGAGCGGCUAACGGGCAGGACCCGCAGAAGCUGCAGUCGAUACUGAUCUCCUCGGAGGCGGCGGAGGUGGACGAGGACACAGAAUCUCCCUGCGAGCGGGAAGGGGUGACGGCAAUAACGUUGUCCAUAGGCGGCUCACCCGGAACCACGAUCCCUGUGCCUUUGCCAAGAGACGACCCUGAAACGGCCUCCUCUGAGCCUCAGUUCAAUACCGCUAAGGAGAAGGAGUGCUGGCACCUCUUCCGAAAAAUGGUUGACAAGGGGAUCUCUGUUUCUUUCGAUACUGUCCUAAGAGGCAUGUUAACUCCAACAGAAUAUAGACUGAGGAAAGCGUCUGAAGACUCAUUUACUUAAUCGGUGCAAAAGAAUUACUUUUGAUAAUUAAUCGAGGAUGUAACUCAAUGCAUAUUGCAGCCACAUCAAUUUGUACACACGUGUUCAGUGAAGUAUUCAUGCGGUUCAGUGGUUGUGUGUGUAUUCCAAACUCGAGCGGAUGAUUAUGUAUUGAUGAAAUUGAGCUCUCAUGGCAAUCUAUUUUCCUGUUCGAAGAAUAUUAGAUCCUUCUAACAAUGGCAGCAAAAUAUAAAAAAUAAGAAACUUUUAUUUCCCUCACCCCUAAUGAUUUUUCUCACUCCUUUCGAAGAGAGAAAGAAGUUAAGAUGAGUAUUAAGUGAGUGAUGUGUUUCAUUUUCUACUUUGAUAAGCUCAAACUUAAAUUUUAAAGUCCAUGACACAAAGUAUUAAUCUUUGAACUAAAGAUCUGAAAGGCUGGACUGCCUGACUCCCAUAUUUUAAAUAUGACGAGAGUGUUCGAAUGUACGAAGCAAUCAUUUAUUGCUAAUCCUAAAAUAAAUUAUUUGCUUAUUUUGACUUGAAUUUUCACCCUCUUCCAUCACACAUAUUGUCGACGUGUGGGCUGAAACUUUGGGAGGGAAAAAUUUAGGGAAAACAACGUCAUAGGUCCGAGGGAGAGGGGUUAG